UCUCUAGUGGUGACUACGAUCCUACAAUUACUGGCUGCCUCAUGCAUCAAAGGGUUCUUGAGUAAAUCUUCCCAUACCUCUGGACUCCAUACAUCGUCUAAUACCAGAAGCAAAUUUUUCGAUAGGAGGGAAACAAGUUUAGGUUCAAGCUCCGCUCUACUCUCAGCUCCUUCAACACUUCCUCCGACGCUUCUAAUCAUUUCUUUGAGCAAAUCAGUCUCUGAAUAGUUCUUCGUUACACACAACCACACUCGAAUCGGAUAGUUCUGUAUGAUCCUUUCAUCAUUGAAUACUUUACGCGCUAGAGUGGUCUUCCCAAUCCCACCCAUCCCGACAAUCCCAAAAACAACACACUUUCGAUUCUCACUGACCUCUAGUACUUUGUUGAUCAGAUUUUGGGCAGCGCCUUCGAUUUGGGUUCCUAUGAUGUCUGCCUUAACCUCUAUGGAAGAUGUCUUAGGAUAACUUGCUGGGGGAGGUGGGAGGCCUUUUUCGACGUUCUCUACAACAGGUAUUAUAGAUCUAUCUCCCGUGAUCUCAAUCAGUCUAUCAUUAAGUCUUUUUAUUCUACCACUGAUUUCAUAGCGGUGUUUGAUAGGUCUAAAGAAAGGAGGAUUGGUUACCUUCAGCAAGCUGCCACCUUCGAAGAUGCAAAGAUCGAUGAUAUCGUCAGCGUCGUACAUGACAUCCUUCAACUCCCUCACCCAGGUGUCCAUGUCCGGAUCUACAUGCCUUCUUUGCUCUGCAGUGCGAAGAAAGCCUUUGAUCCUCGUCAACCUUCUCUCCAGAGUUUUGACCUCCGCCCCCACGUAUAGCACUUUGCAUAUCUCUCCCUCCGCGAAGUUGGUUAUCUUUUCGAGGAACCUUUCUACGAAAAACUCUAACACCAUUGCCAUCUCGUAACACAGCUCAAGAAGAUCUAAGGCAGUGUCUCCAAAGUGAAGAUCUGAUUCCUCAUUUAUAGAGAUAAGAUCAGAAUCAGGGCCCCAUUUCCGUAAGAGAAGUCUUCCACAGCAUGCAUGCACCUAUUGGUCCAAUUUCCUACUUCUUUGACACUGUUAUGAAAUAAAUAGUCUGCCUUAUUUUCUUAUGACUUGUUGCUGUUUGUUUAUUAUGUGAUGAAAUAAAGCAACAAUAUAUAUAUAUAUAUAUAUAUUAUGCUAAGAAAAACUUACGUGACAAACAUUGUAGAGUGGAAAGAGCAACAAAGAAUAUAGAAUGGAGACAAACAUAUUCUUAUUCAAGUGUAUAUUUGAGAAAAAUACAUAAACAUUUAAAAGAAUAUAGAAUGGAGCAACUUUUAAAACAAACUAGUCACGAAUGUAUAUUACAAAUAAUAGAUAAUGUAAAACUAAUACAUGCAAAGUACCAAAUAUCAAUCUAAUGAACAUGCAAUCGCAAGUUCUGUGGAAGUAACGAGAAUAGUGUUGUUAAAGCUUUCACCACUUACAGAAAGUUUGAUUGUGCCGUCCCACAAGCCGGGGCAAAAACCUUGCCUGCCCUUAUCCCCAGGAGAGAGUACUAUUUCCAAGGUAUAAUAAGAUUUUAGCUGAGGUAAAUCUAUUAGGACUAGAAUUGACAACCUAUUACUCAUGAAUAGAGUAGUAAUUAGACUAGUGAUGAUAACAUUAUUGUGGCUAGCGAGGUCAAGGAACUCACUGGUUCAUCUAAUAUAUUAUAAAUAUAAGUAAGUUGGUCAUGAAAUGUUCCGUAGUUUCUAUGACAUGGUCAUCUUUGUUUAAUUCUCACCAUCUACUCUAUCAAUGAAAAGCCGCAUUGAAUUCCUAUACCAGAUCUCAUCCUGUUAUUCCUCUCGAUUCCAAUGGCAGGCAUGGUAAGCUAUCAUCUAAAUGCUCUUUCCUUAUGACUUGGUCCUCGCCAUUCCAUAUGCCAGCACCUUUCACACUGUAUAUGUGAUGAAAUAAAUAGUCUGCAUGCUGUCAAAACAUGUGUUUGGAAACUCAUCACCAUUUCUCUCUACAGCUCAAGAAUAACUAGUUGAUUGGUUGUGACUUGGUCGUCGUUGUUUAAUUGCCCAGCCCUUACUCUUCUAUCAAAGAUAAGUCGGAGAUGUUAAUGCUCGACUCCCACCGAUUCAAAGUCAAGCCUCACCCUUGAUUUUGAUGUAUGUAAAUUUUCCCAGUAAAGUUUCAAAUACGAGACUGCUCUUUCCAGAACCAAGGCAGCUUCUUCCCAUCUUCUUGUGUCAAUUCCGAGCUCAUAAAGCUGGUGUCAAUUGUGAUGCCCCCUACCAAAGAAAAGUUGGAGACGUUAAUGCCCAACUCCCACCGAUUCAGAGUCGAGCCUCACCCUUGAUUUUGAUGUAUGUGAAUUUUCCGAAGAAAGUUCCAAAUACGAGACUGCUCUUUCCAAAACCAAGCACCUUCUUUCCAUCCUCUUGUGUCAAUUCCGAGCUCAUCAAGCUGGUGUCAAAUGUGAUGCCCUCUAACUUAGGGUGUUGGAGUGGGGGUUUUUGGUCGACUCUCGGCACCCUUUUUUGUUUAUUUUGCUGGCAAGUCUUUGCUUGUUGCAUUCAUUUAUAGUUACAUGUAAGUUCUUUGGGCAAAACUGGCAUUAGCCUCUAUGGAAUGUCAAAUAAAUGUGCUACAAUAAAAAAUUAGCAAUCACGGAUGAGUUCUACCAUUUUUUCUUUCUGUUUCAUCCUGUUUAACUCAAGAUUUGAUUGUUUGAAACGAAUAUAAAUUACAAGUCAAUAGAGGUUCAUCUUUUUGCAUUUGUCAUAGUUUAACCUUGAUCGAUAUCAUACUCAUUCGACUCUAGAGAUAUUAAAUCCCAUAGGAUUGCGUUAGAACGGUUCCCCUCCGAUGUUUAAAUUAAUUUUGAAUUCCUACACCAGAUCUUAGCCUGUUCUUCCUCUCGAUUCCAACGGCAGGCAUGGUAGGCUCUCAUCUAAAUGCUAUUUCUUUAUGACUCCGUCCUCUGGAUUCCAUAUGACAGCUCCCUUCACCCUGCAUAUGUGAUGAAAUAAAUAGUCUGCAUGCUGCACGCGGUGGUUUGUCGCAACAUGUUUUUGGAAACUCAUCACCAUUUCUCACUGCAGCUCAAGAAUGACUAAUUGAUGGUCUCUAGGAUGAUGCAGUUUGUGUUAUCCUUGAUUUGUUGUGACUCGCUCAUCAUUGAUAAAUUGCCAGCCCCCUGCGCUACCAAAGAAAAGUCGGAGAUGUUGAUGCCCAACUCCCACCGACACCAGCUUUGGAUUCCCAGACAAGGCACCUUCUUCCCUGUGUCGAUUCCGAGCUCAUCAAGCUCGUGUCAAAUGUGAUGUCCUCUACCAAAGAAAAGUCGGAGAUGUUGAUGGCCAACUCCCACCGACACCAGCUUUGGAUUCCCAGACAAGGCACCUUCUUCCCAUCCACUUGUGUCGAUUCCGAGCUCAUCAAGCUCGUGUCAAAUGUGAUGCCCUCUAACUUGGGUGUUGGACGGGGGUUUAGGUCGACCCUCGACAUUCUUCUUUGUUUAGCUUGUUGGUUAAUCUUUGCUUGCUGCAUUCAUUUACAGUUACAUGUUACUUUUUGGGCAAAACUGGCAUUAGCCUUUGUGGAAUGUCAUAUAAAUGUGUUAAAUUAACAAUCACGUAUGAGUUACUACUAUUUUUUGCAUUCUUAUUCAUCCUGCUUAACUCAAAAUUUGAUUAUUCGAUACAAAUGUUGAUUAUGAGUCAAUCAACGUUUAUCUUUUGCAUCUAUCAUAGUUUAAUCUUGACGGACACCACAUUCCACAAUUAGUUUAGAUUUAGUAGAUUAUAUCAGUGUUUUAAACAAUAUUAGGAAAAAUAUUUGGAACAUAUUUUAGAGAGCUCAUUUAUAAUGGGCUCUCGUAGCCAUUACUUCUAUAAUUGACACCUAUUAUGAAAAACGAUUGCACGUUUGUCCUAGGCUUAAUCACAAUUAUGUUGCAUUGAUAUUAAGGUGACACCACAUGGCAUUAAGGUAUUGGUCAACAUGACACUAAGGCGGUGGCCAUAUAAGACUAUGGUAUUGAUCACUUGAUGCUAAGGUAUUAUUUAUAUGUUUUUGAUGUGUCAACUAUAUGACACAAUAAAGAAGACUUAGAAUGUAUCAACUAAUUCGAAAAGAAGACAACACCUUGAUUCAUUAUUUAAUCAUGCCACAAGACUACUUGAAUUAUAUAUUUACAUAAUAAUUGAGUUUGUUCGAUCUACAAGGUAUAUUUCUUAAAUAUUGUAAACAUUGCUUAGUUAUAAAAACAUAUAGAGUUGCCUUUCAUACUUAUUCAACAUCUAGAAGAUCAAAUAUUAUUGAUAUGAUUCACACUGAUGUCUGUACUAUACAAAACUGAUGUCUGUACUAUGCAAACUAGAAUUCUUAGAUGUACCCUUUAUUUUGUUACUUUCAUUGAUGAAAAGUUUGGGUAUUUGCUUUAAAAUCUAAAGACUAGGUACUCGAUGUUUUCAAAGAAUUUCAUGUCAUUAUUAAAAGAGAAAAUAGUAGAAAACUAAAGUGUGUUCAAGUAGAUAAUGGUGACGAGUACAGGGGUUCUUUUGAGAAUUAUUAUAGGUUCCAUAGUAUCAGGCUUGAUAAAACAGUUUCUAAAACUUCUCAGCAAAACAGUAUGAAAGAAAGGAUAAACAAAACUAUUGAAGAAAGAAUUAGGUGUAUGUUUUGCCAUGCUAAGUUAUCUAAGUCAUUUUGGGGGGAGGCUAUAAGAACUAUGAUUGAUAUAAUAAAUCUUUCUUCAUCAGUUUCUCCGAAAGGUGAUGUUCCAGAGAAAGUAUGGAAAGGAAAAUAUAUAUCUUAUAAUCACUUGAGAGUUUUUGGGUGUUAAGCAUUUGGUUAUAUUCCCAAAGAUGAGAGGUCCAAGCUUGAUAAUAAGGUAAAAGUAUGAAUCGAUAUAGUCACGAAGAGUUUGGGUACAGAUUAUGAGAUCCAGUGAACAAGAAGAUUAUUAGAAGCAUAGAUAUUAUGUUUCUUGAAAAUCAAUUAUUUGAUAAUGGUGAUAAUGUUGGGAAGCUCAAAACCUCUAUUUAUAUUCUUUAGAGUUUGGGUUCAAUUCGUUUACUUAUAGUUCAUGAUAAUCAUAUGGGAGAUGAACAAGAUAAUCGUGUUGAGAAUGCUAGUAAUGAUGCUCCUAUAGUUGAUGAUAUUAAACUAACUAAAAAAUAUCUCUAACUAAGAAACAUCUCUACCACUAGUUGAGAUUCUAUUGAGAAGAAACAAAUCUUCGACUCCAUACUUCGUCCAAACACCAUAAACAAAUUUCUCAACAAGUGAGAAACAAGUCUAGGUUCAAGUUCCGCCCUCCUCUCAGCUCCUUCAACCCUUCCUCCUACGCUUCUAAUCAUUUCUUUGAGCAAAUCAGUCUCUGAAUAGUUCUUCGUGACGCACAACCAUGCUCGAAUCGGAUAGUUUUGUAUGAUCCUUUCAUCAUUGAAUACUUUACGCGCUAGAGUGGUCUUCCCAAUCCCACCCAUCCCGACAAUCCCAAAAACAACACACGUUGGAUUCUCACUGAUCUCUAUUAUGGAUUUGAUCAGAUUUUGGGCAGGGCCUAUGAUUUGGGUUCCUAUGAUAUCUGCCUUAACCUCUAUGGAAGAUGUCUCACGAGAUCUUACCGGGUGAAUUGGGAUGUCUUUUUCAGCGAUCUCUACAUCAGGUAUUAUAGAUCUAUCUUCCGUGAGCUCUUUCAGUGUUGCUUACCGGGUGAUUUGAUAGCGGUGUUUGAUAGAUCCAAAGUAAGAAGAACUUCGCGAGCUGGAAGGAUUGCUUACCGCAAAAGUCGUCGAUGCCCGGCUCUUCAGCAAGCUGCCACCUUCGAUGACGCAAAGAUCGAUGAUAUCAUCGGCGUCGUACUUGACAUGCCUCCUUCAACUCCCUCACCCUGGUGUCCAUUGCUGGAUCUACAUGCCUCCUUUGCUCUGCAGUGCGAAGAAAGCCUUUGAUCCUCGUCAACCUUCUCUCGAGCAUUUCGACCUCCGCCCUCACGCAUAGCACUUUGCAUAUCUCUCCCUCCGCAAAGUUGGCUAUCUUUUGGAGGAACCUUUCUACGAAAAACUCUAACACCAUUGCCAUCUCGUAACACGGCUCAAGAAGAUCCAAGUGAGUGUCUACAAAUUGAAGGUCUGUUUCCUCUGAUACGAUCUACGUCGAGCAUAAAUAUGUUCCGGAAUCAAGGCCCGAUUUCCGAUAAGGGAGGAGUCUUCGACAGCAUGCAUGUGCCCAUUGGUCCAAUUGCCAGCUUCUUCAACACUCUACAUGUCAUGAAAUAAAUAAUCUGCCUUAUUUUCUUAUGAUUUGUCGGUCUUUGUUUAUUAUGUGAUGAAAUAAAUAGUCUGCAUGUGACUCGUGUGGCAACAUUAUAUUAUAUAUAUAGAAACUCAAAUUAAAAACUCAAAAUUCUUGGAAGAUGGUGAAACAAUGACACUUUUAAAACUCAAAAGUCAAAAAAUAGAUACAACUAAGAAACAUGCUCAGAAGAACUUGAGACAAACAUUGUAGAGUGCAAAGAGAAACAAAUAAUUGGUAAACAAUGAUAGCACAUGAUUUUAUUCAACGAUACAAAACAGGUACAAACAAUAUUCUUAUUCAAGUCUAGAUUUGAGGAAAAAUACAUUUAACAUUUAAAAGAAUAGAGAAUGGAGCAACUUUUGAAACAAACAAGUGACGAACGAAUGUUUCAAAUAAUAGAUAAUCAAUCUAAUGAACAUGCAAUUGCAAGUUCAAUGGAAGUAAUGAGGAUAGUGUUGUUACAGCUUUCACCAGCUGGGGCAAAAAUUAUCCCCAGGAGAGACGACUAUUUCCAAGGUAUAAUAUGCUUUUAGCUAAAGUGAAUCUAUUAGGACUCGAAUUGACAACCUAAUCACUCGUGAACAGAGAGUAAUUAGACUGGCGAUGACAACAUUAUGAUCACAAGCGAGGCCAAGGAAUUCACUGGUUCAUCUAAUAAGAAUAUUAAUGCUUACUACCUACCAGUGCCAGAUCUUAUCCUGUUCUUCCUAUCGAUUCCAAUGGCAGGCAUGGAAAGCUAUCAUCUAAAUGCUAUUUCUUUAUGACUUGGUCGUCUGGAUUCCAUAUCACAGCUCCCUUCACCCUGUAUAUGUGAUGAAAUGAAUAGUCUGCAUGCUGCAUGUGGUGGUUUGUCGCAACAUGUGUUUGGAAACUCAUCACCAUUUCUCACUACAGCUCAAGAAUGACUAAUUGAUGGUUUCUAGGAUGAUGCAGUUUGUGUUAUCCUUGAUUUGUUGUGACUUGCUCAUCAUUGAUGAAUUGCCAGCCCCUACGCUACCAAAAAAAAGUCGGAGAUGUUGAUGCCCAACUCCCACCGACACCAGCUUUGAAUUCCCAGACCAGGCACCUUCUUCCCGUCCACUUGUGUCGAUUCCGAGCUCAUCAAGCUGAUGUCAAAUGUGAUGCCCUCUAACUUGGGUGUUGGAGGGGGGUUAGGUCGACCCUCGGCAUUCUUCUUUCUUUAUCUUGUUGGCUAAUCUUUGCUUGCUGUAUUCAUUUACAAUUACAUGUUAGUUUUUGGGCAAAACUGGCAUUAGCCUCUAUGGAAUGCCAUAUAAAUAUGUUACAAUAAAAAAAUUAGCAAUCACGUACGAGUUACUACCAUUUUUUGCAUUAUGUUUCAUCCUACUCAACUCAAAAUUUUAUCCGAUACAAAUGCUGAUUACAAGUAAAUCGACAUUCAUCUUCUGUUAUUGUUUAAUCUUGAUGGACACUACACUCGUCUGACUUCAGAGAUAUUAAAUUUUAUAGAAUUACAUCAGAGUCAUUCCAACAAAUAUUUUUUUAAUGCUUAAAUUAGUUUAGGUUUAGAAGAUUCUAUUAAUAUUUUGAAUAAUAUUAGAAAAAAUAUUCAGAAUGUACUUGAGAGAGCUCUUUUAUAACGACUUCUUAUGGUUAUUACUUUUAUAAUUGACACCGAUUACGAAGAUGAUUGUACGUUUAUCCCAAGCUUAAUCACAAUUAUGUUAUAUUGAUAUUAAAAUGACAAUCACGUGGCACUAAGGUAUUGGUCAGGCACUGAGGUGUCAAUCAUGUCGCACUAAGGUGUUGGCCCUGUGGUGUCAACCACUUGAUGCUAAGAUAUUGUUCUAUAUGUUUUUGAUGUGUCAACCAUAUGACACAGUAAAAAAGACUUGGAAUGUGUCAACCAAUCCCAAAAGAAGACAACACCUUGACUACUUAAAUUAUACAUUUACAUGAUAAUCGAGUUUGUUCGAGCUCAUACUUUCAGUCAUGCCUGAAAUUUUCUUUCUUUUGGAAACAGUUUACUAUUCAAUUUCAUGCACUUGAUAAAUUUGUUCUCUCUCUUGUCUCGUUCUCUAUAUGAGUGGCAUAGGAAAUGCUUUUAAGAUCUGCAGAUUAAAGACUUGGAUGCUUGUUAUAGUAAACAAGAAGUUACACUUCGGACAACUUGGAACGUGAAGGUUCUAAUUUCUGUGAUACUGGUUAGAUACAGUCAAUUCAUUUUGUUCUGGUUGAGACUCCAUGCUAUGAUGAUGGGUUAUCCAGUUCUCCUUUUGCUAGUUUGACUGCAUAUGUUUUUGAUAAAUGGAUUGAUAGGAUAGUCUUUGCAUUGUUUUCCAUGUUGUCUCUGUAAAUUCAAUCGACUCCCUUCAGCAAAGUCUGUAGUCGAUAUUUUCUCUAUUUAGUAUCGCACUUUCUAGUAUUUCUUGUGUCCUCUGAGAGGCUUGCUGUCAACAACCCUAAUAAAUGCAGUUGUCAAGCUUGAUGUAUUAUUAUUAGUUACUUAUGGUUUAACCUCUUGGCCAUCUAAAUAAUCAUGUUCCUGGACAUGGCAAAGGCUCGAGGAAAGGUUAAUUAAUUACAUGACGACUCUCAACUUGCUUUAUAAGUUUGUAUGGCAUCAAUUAAAUUCAGGUCUCCUUGGAAAUUUAAUGAUCGUGAAAGCAGUUCAUGAGAUGAUGCAGUGAGUUUUUACGGCAUACCAAAUGGUUGCAGGGGGCAAUAGCAAGUUGCAAGUAAAGAAGUAUUCCGGCUUGAAAGUGUUGCAUGAACACGAAACCAAGACUUACUGCAGUAUGAUGAUAUUUGGUGAAUAGUUUGGAAGGUAGUGAUAUUUGUAUCUUACUGUUGAACCAAACUUAUGAACUUUUACUAUGUUAGAUGGUCUAUAUGACCAAGUGGGGUCAUGGAGUAGCAGUAGAAGGAUUGAAUGAAGCAGGGUCAUCAAGCAUGUGAGUAUUGAACCUAAAUACAACAAUAAGCCAAAUAUUUGGUGUCAGCUACAUAAAUCACUUGAGAUUCAUAUGAGAACAAUAUCAUCAUAUGCCCUUUAUUCCUCUUAAGAUUGAGAAGAAAAAACUACUUCCCCUUUUAUCGCGCUGUUUCUAAAAUAAGCUACAAUUUUCUUCCUAGUUGAUCUUACGGAGUAUCAGAAAAUUAUAAAAUAUAGACUUCACAGGACUCAUGUAGCGCUUGAGAGUCUAAUCUGUGCCAUAUCUGUUUCUUCCAUUACAAAUCAUUGUGUUUGUGAUACAUCUGACAGGAAGAUGUGUGAAUUGACUGUAUGCAUGAACUUCAUUUGUUGUCAGAAUUUCUUGGUUUUUAUAACAAUGUUCUCUUUGGUUGCUCUACUAGAAAGUAGAAAGUGCUAUAUUUAUUUCUGAAAAAGAGAUCUUCCGACUGGAUUUUGGUUUCUUGGAAAAUUUCCACCAAGGAAUGAUUAUUGGAGUCUUUUGUGCUUUUUGCAUAACAUGGUGGAUUUUUGGCUAUUAAUAAUUGUUCUUCAUGUUUGCCGUGCGAUUUUCGUCUUCAUCAAGGUGACUCGUGUCAAUUUAAGUCAUGAUAAAUAUGCUUGAUUUCUUUCGGAAAAAGAAAUCCUCACUAGUGUUUCUUCCUAUGAUUCUACAUUAAAUGGACGGCAAUUAUGUAACCAUUUUAGCCAAUAUGAAUUUCCGAGUUAGUGGAAUUAUGUCUAUGAUCUGAACAGAAUUUUCUAUCUUCAUAUUUAUAAUCAUUUAUAUGCUCAUGUUGAUCACACCUGCUAGUUCAUAUCUAAUUUGACAUUGAUUGUGUGCUAUGUUUAGGUACUCCCUUUCAGCUUCUGUGACAUAUAUGAUUCUGCCACCAAUUAGCUUUGUUAAAGCACGCAUAGCUUCGGUGAGGUCAAAGUGAAAUUAAACUAUUAGCUGCACUCGUUUACAGUUACGUGGAGGUUCUUCGAGCAAGACUAGCAUAAAGCCUCUUUGGACUGUCAAAUAAUUGUGUUAUGAUCAGACAUUGGCAAUCACCCAUGAGUUGUACCAAUUUUCACACUGUGCUUGAUACUAUUUCUGGAGUGAAGAAAUUAAAUUAUGUUCCUGGAACAGUGAGUGAUAUGACUGGAAUAUUUUCUUUUGUAAACUCCAUCGCUUACGGCUUGGUUUAUUUAGUGUCCAAAUGUAUUUUUGGCAGAGCAAUGCUGAGAAUCAUUAUGUUCUUUUGUUCUGCAUUUUCUUUUUCUCUUCCAUCCUUGUUUUGUGUUUGUGAAAGUUACUGAGCUUCAUGAAGUGUAGAGACUUUUCAAGAAAUGAAUGAAGAUAUCGCUUACAAGUUUUACUGGAGAUGUUUCUUGGCAUCGGCCAUGUUGGAUUGCCAGUUCUCUGAUGUAGCCUUUGUUUCGACUCUGUUUUGGGUUUUGCCAUUGCAAUUGAAGACAAGUGGAGGACACAGUUGCGAUGAAGAUUUUGUUGGCCAAGUCUUUAUUUGUCAAUAUCUGCAGUAGAUAACAUGCUUUUGGAUACAAGACCUUCGAUCAAAUUAUAGUCAUAAAGCAAUGCACGAUGUAAGCAACAGCAUUUGCAAAUCUAGACAUCAAGCAACAGCAUGCUUAUGGAAGCAAGAUCAAGAUGAAAGCUUCGCUUAGUAUAAAGCAACACAAAGAGAUGUGUUCGUAGACAAUAGUCUUUCUUUGUUCUUACACUGAAAGCAAAUAUAAAUUAUGGUCCAAACAUACAUUCAAAUCGAAGGAAAAAAAGGAUAAAAAAAAACACAACGCUUUCAAACUGCCAAAUUGCUUCAAUCGCAAAUAGUAAGGGAAGUGAAUGCCAAGCACAAAAGACUUCGAUCGAUCCUGCAAAAAACAAGUUCAUACAUAUAUAUAUGAAUGAAACAAACAUAAGCAUGGCGUACUAACAGAUGAUGACUUCCGAGUAAACCUGGAAGAUGGAAGAAGUUGGCGUACGUGUGAACCAAAAAAGCACUCGAGUAAACUGGAAUGAGAAGAAGAACACGACUUACAGAGACGCCAACUCUGCUCAUGCUGAACCUACGUUGGUGUCGUACAUGUAUGGAUCCUUGUUAUACCAAAUGAACUCGUUGGCAUCGAUGGCCCGAAUCCUGACCUCCGUUAUCUGGCGGAUGAUCUGCCAGUUGACCUCGCCCAUGAGACACCUCUUCAACAAUGGCAAGCUGCACUGCAGCUCAAGCUUUCUGAAACUGCGCUGCUGCUCCACGAGAUCCGACAGCCAUGGCGGCAGAGACUGCGCUGGUGGUGGACAAGACAGAUGCAGGUGUUGCAAGCCAGCCAGAUCUCCCACGUACUCCAAGUUGGGGCAGUCAUCCACUUGCAGAUACUUCAAUGAAGGAAGGUUUGAUAUACGCCGCAAGCUGUUGUUACGCUUCACAGUGAGGUUGUCAGUCAGGAAGUCGAGGUUCUUGAUUUCUACAAAGCUGUGAGUGCCCUCCAUAUGGAGUAACUUCAAGUUGGUCGUGCAAAGGCCUUCCGGAAGGGCUCCCAGCUUGGGACAGUCGACGAGCCAGAGCUCCUUCAGUUUAGGGAGCAGCUUACGAAGGCUGCUGCGUCUGCUGUCGUCAGCGGGGGACUCGCUUGUCGGAAGCCUGACAGGAUUUUGAUGACGUGACGGGUCGGAGUUGGAAGCUUGAGAGUCUUGACUUCCGACCAGAUCUAGCUCAGAUCGUGGCUGCCUAGGACCUGGACGUGAGUUUGGUUUUGCUUGGCCGACUGACCCUGGACAGUAUGCACAAAGGUAUGCAGUCUGUGAAAAAUAUGAAGGCGUGCUUUCCUCUGGCACUGAUGUCAACCAUUUUGUCCAGUUGGGCAUGUUGAAGAAUUGCAUUACCUCAAGCUUGGGAAAUGCCCGAAAUCCCUGUAAACUCCGGCGAUCGCCGAGGAAUUCAGCACCAAUGGUUCUGAUUGCAUUUGCCCCGUUAAUGGAUAGUAACUUUAGCUCUGGAAGCAGGCCCAGUGGAGGAAGCUCGCAGCACGAUGGAAGAUCAUGAAUGCUCAAGUAUGACAGCCGGGGGAAAGCAGUGUCGAGGGAAGACAACAUCAUCCAUCUCGGAAACCAAUUACCGGGAAAGAAUUUGAUAGAAAGAUACAGCAGGCUCGGUGGGGGACAGAGUCCAUGGCAUAUCUUCCGAGCUCUUUGGGUUUGUUCCACGGUACAUUGCGCUCGAUCUUGACUCAUGCAGAAUAGAUGCAAUUGCCUGAGAAAAGAUUUANNNNNNNNNNNNNNNNNNNNAAGAUGUGAUAGUUCUCCGAUGGACUCGGGAAGACUCUCGAUGGAUGUGUCGUUCAGAAGCAGGACUCUCAGCUUCCUUAGCUUUUUAAACAGAUCAUCUCCAAUUGUACGGGCACGAGGGCUAUCAAAGAUGAGCAAAGAUCUUAAACACUUCUCUUCAACGAUUCUGUCGGGGAGCUGUAUCCUCUCCCCUAUGUUUGAUGUUGACAAUCGACGAAGCUUAGUUAAUGGGUCCGAAUUCAAUGAUUGGAGAUCACUGACAUAGACACCCUCUCCUUGGAUCAAGGACUGAGCAAGCGAUCUCAAAAGAUCAUGCAUGGUGCAUCUGCUGCCGUCUACAAAGGUAGGAUCCACCUGCAGUAGGUUUCGCCAGAUCAAGUCCUCGUAAUAACCCUCGGCAAUCUCUUCCAUCGAUAGUUCUCCGUUCUCCUCUGUGAAUCCUUCAGCCACCCAAAGCCGGAUAAGAUCCUUACGGUACAUAUCAGCCUUGUCGGGAAACAAAGAGCAAUGCAGAAAGCACUGCUUAAGAUGAGAAGGUAAAUCUUCAUAACUCAAGAACAAAACCCCCAGUACAUUCUCAUCGAACUUCUUCAUCCUCCAUAGAUCACUUCUGAUAACCCUUUCCCACUCCAUCGGACUUCUCCUGGAUCUUAAAACCCCCGCAAGAACCUUGAUUGCGAGAGGAAGUCCAUCACAUUUUUGAACCAAUUUAUUUCCAAUUUUUUUGAAUCUAGAAAUAUCGUCCUUCUCUCUAUUAUCCCAAACCGUCUUCCACAGCAAUUCCCAGCCACACUCUUCAUCCAUUUUCUCAACAUGAUGAACAUUGUCUCCCAAAUUUCUUGCCACGUUUUCGUCUCUAGUUGUAACUACGAUCCUACAAUUACUGGUUGCUCCAAGAAUCAAAGGGUUCUUGAGUAAAUCUUCCCAUACGUCUGCACUCCAUACAUCGUCUAAUACCAGAAGCAAAUUUCUCGAUAGGAGGGAAACAAGUUUAGGUUCAAGUUCCGCUCUACUCUCAGCUCCUUCAACACUUCCUCCUACGCUUCUAAUCAUUUCUUUAAGCAAAUCAGUCUCUGAAUAGUCCUUCGUGACACACAACCAUGCUCGAAUCGGAUAGUUUUGUAUGAUCCUUUCAUCAUUGAAU
rnacentral:lncRNA from 1 species